GGUGCGAGCGUUGUCCGGAAUCACUGGGCGUAAAGGGCGCGUAGGCGGCCUGAUAAGUAGGGGGUGAAAUCCUGCGGCUUAACCGCAGGGCUGCCUUCUAAACUGUCAGGCUCGAGCACAGUAGAGGCAGGUGGAAUUCCCGGUGUAGCGGUGGAAUGCGUAGAGAUCGGGAAGAACAUCAGUGGCGAAGGCGGCCUGCUGGGCUGUUGCUGACGCUGAGGCGCGACAGCGUGGGGAGCAAACAGG
rnacentral:rRNA from 1 species